CAAGCUGAAGACACACCUGAGGGAAAAAAAGGAAAACGUAACAAUUGGUCAGCAAAGGAAGAUGUUGUGCUCAUAUCAGCCUGGUUGAACACAAGCAAAGACCCUGUGGUGGCCAAUGAGGAAAGGAAGAUGACCUUCUGGUCAAGAAUAGCAACCUACUUUGCUGCUUCUUCUGCGCUUGUUGGGAUGCCAAAGAGAGAGCCUGACCAUUGCAAGCAAAGGUGGAGGAAGAUCAAUGAUCAGGUCUGCAAGUUUGUUGGUUCCUUAGCAGCUGCAACAAGUCAGAAGUCAAGCGGACAAAAUGAAAAUGAUGUAAUGAAGCUUGCUCACCAAAUCUACUCAAAGGAUUAUGGUGUCAAGUUCACACUUGACCAUUGUUGGAGAGAGCUUCGCCAUGAUCAGAAGUGGUGUGUUGCUUCUUCACCUGUAGAGAGUGACAAGUCAAAAAGAAGAAAGGUAGGGGAUAGAGCUGAAGCUGCUGGUCACUCAUCAAGCUCACAGGCAGCUAGCCAUGGAGAUGAAGCCAUGGCUCGUCCACCAGGUGUUAAGGCGGCAAAGGCCAAAGCUAAAAAGACUAACAAAGGCGUUGAAGAAGGACCAGAUCUAGAUGCUCUAUUAAGGAUUCAGAGCAUUUGGGAGAUUAGGAAACAAGACCAUGAACUGAAGAAAGAGGACUAUGAACUGAAGAAGAAACAGAGCAAGCUCAAAAUGUUGGAGAAUCUCCUUGGAAAAAUAGAGCCACUUAGUGAAAUUGAAAUGGCUUUGAAGGACAAGCUUAUCACUGACAUGUUGUCAUAAACUUGAAUGUUGUCCUUUGUUUUCUGAAUCAGUUUUUUUUCCAGAGGUUAGUGUUUAUGUUAUGUUUGUGAUCAAGUAAUGCUAAUGUUAUGGAUGUGUUUUAUUGCUUGUGUUUGUUGACUUGUUAUGGAUAUCAUUCAGGUAUCAACUUGAGAAUAAAAGAUUGCCUCUUGUUUCUCUCAUGUUCUUGCACCGAGAGGUUUCAUUGUUCAUUUUUGAUAUGAUAUCACUCAUUUCUUCUACUUGUUUUUUUUCUCUUUUGCAGACUCUUAUCGAAUGGACUCAGAGAAAGAGUCAUUUUAAGAGUUGAUGGAGGCUUAAAGAGUGGUGUUGAUGUUCUAAUGGCUGCAGCUAUGGGUGCUGAUGAAUACGGAUUUGGUUACUUGGCAAUGAUUGCUACUGGUUGUGUUAUGGCUCGUAUUUGCCACACUAAUAAUUGUCCAGUGGGUGUAGCAAGUCAGGUAGACUCAUCCUGUAAAAUUUCCUUGCCUUCUUGUUCAUAUUCUCUUGAGUUUUGCUAACGUUUGUUUAAACUCUUGAGUUUUGCUAACGUUUGUUUAAACUCUUUAACGUUUGUUUAAACACCUGCCACUGGAUACCCCGAGGAAGAAUCACCUUCUGAUCUUCUUGUGCGAUAAAAUCAACUCCAGUUUUGUCAAUGCUUUGUAUACAACCUUCUACCAGACCCCCUUUGCCAUUAAAGAGUUCUACCCUUGCAUAGAAAAAGGGUGCAAGUAAUUACUUACAUCUACUAUACAUUUUUGCAACAGUUUUUGGGGUCCCCAAUCGGGUCGGAUAUUUUUCAAUUUUGACCCGGAAUUUUGUCCAAUCGGAUCAUUCCUUAUUAGAUAUUUUGACCCGAAUUAUUUUCAAUCGGAUCUUGACUAAGUAUAUUACACAAUAAAUGCAAAUCCUAUCGUAUCCUUAAUUUUAGUAUCUAAUUAAAAGCAUAUUCUCUCAACAUAUUCUAUCAAAUCAAGAUUUCCUAAACAAAAUUAUCUACAAUCUUCCAUCAUAUUAAAUAGAAUAUAUAUUGUUAUUUCACGAAAUUGUAAUCCUCCCUUAAAUUUCUUUCACAUUCAUUGUUAGUUUCCCGUAUCUUUGAUAUUCUACUUCUCCCCCAAGAUUUUUCUCAACUCGAUUUGACCUUAACCCUAGACAUCUAAGUUCUCUAUAAAUAUUUCCAGUGUUCAAGAAAGCGCUAGGCGCUAAGCGGGCGGUGACCCAGUGCCUAGCGUCUAGAACGCUUAAUCGGGGCCUAGGCGAUUUUUUAGGCGGUUUAGACGUUUAUAACAUAAAACAUUAUAAAUAUGAUAUUACGGAUACAAUCUCGCUCUUUUUCAUUUGAAUGUGGUUAUUCUUAUCUUUCUUAAUAUCUCAUGCGUAAAUAUUAUAUCAAUACUUGGAUACCUACUUUACAUAAUAAAUUUGUAAUCAGCAACACUGAUAAUAUUUACGUCAAACAAAGCCAAAUGAAGAAAACUAUUAAUAUAACAUUCAUGAGAACAUAAACCAAAACGAAAAUCACUAUAUUUGAAACAUGUUACUAUAUUUCGUCUGAUUCUUAUAAUUGUCACAUGCCCUUAAAUUGCAGCAUCAUUACUUGAGUCUAAUUACCAAACGAAGAGUCUAACUAUAUUCUCUGCAAUUGCAGUGUAUUUAAAAACUAAACAAGUUAUUAGGAACCACUUAGCAAAAGAUAAAAAAACAAGAGAUCACCCAAAUUCUAUCAUCAUAUCAAUAGAAAAAGAUCACAAAACACGACUAAACUAUUCAAAAUACAAUCCCAGAAACAUGAAUUUCUAUUUACUCAAAUAGACUAAAAUACCUUUGUUGGGGUGUCUUUAAGAAUUGAAUCGAAGUUGGCAGUGUUCAAUUCAACAGCUUUGUCGUUUUUUAUUGGCGAUUACAAAGUCGAUCGGCGAAUCAACCGCGAGCUCGGGGAAGAAGACGCAGGCGAUUACAAGGCUGGUGAAUAAAAGCAUAUGUUCAAAAGACAUCAAAUCGAAUCAAAGCGCCAUGUUGAAGACGAACCCUUCUCUGAGAUUUCAAAGCUUUUCUUCCUUUUUUUCUCAAUAGAGAGAGAAGACGAAAGGAUCUACUCAAAGCUUCCGGAAAGAGUAAACAAAAAGAAAGGAAAACAAUCGGCUGCUAAAUGAAAAAAAAAAGAAAUAACAGAGAAAGAAUAAAAAAGAAAAAAGGAAAUCUUUGAAUUCGAAGAUGUUAGUGACGGAAGAUGAUGCUCGCUUCUUCGUUUAGAAUCGUGCGAAAAAAUUAAAGCUAUCGGUGGUUGUCCAAGAAAAAGCGACAAUCGACGACGACGGAGAGAGGAUGAGUGGUUUGCUGCGAGCUCUGAGAUUUGUCGUGGAGGAGUGCUCAGGCAGGAGUAAGGAGAACAUCAAUUCUUCAAAGCCCAACAAUAUCAAUUCUUCAAAGCCCAUAAAAACA
rnacentral:lncRNA from 1 species